UCCCUGGUGGCUCAGUCGGUAAAGAAUCUGCCUGCAAUGUGGGAGACCUGGGUUUGAUCCCUAGUUUGGGAA
rnacentral:tRNA from 1 species